rnacentral:rRNA from 1 species
CAACUCCAGGUCUAGUGGGAUUACCUGCUGAGUUUAAGCAUAUCAAUAAGUGGAGUAAAAGAAACCUACAAAGAUUCCCUUAGUAAUGGUGAACGAACUAGGAAUAGCUCAACCUUAAAAUUGGGUGGCUCCGUCAUUCCAAUUGUAGUUUGGAGAAGCAUCCUCAGCGGUGGACUGGGCCCAAGUCCCCUGGAUGGGGGCGCCAUAUUGGGUGAGAUUCCCAUUGUUCCCGAACCCUACUACACCAUAAAGCACUGUCUAUGAGUUGGAUUUUUAGGAAUAUAGCCCAAAUAGGGCAGUGAAUUUCACCCAUGGCUAAAUACAAGUGAGAGACCGAUAUCGAACAAGUACCUCGAGGGAAAGAUUAAAAGUACAUUAAAAAGAGAUUCAAAGAGUUCUUGAAAUUAUCGGGAGAAAAGUGAAUGGGGUCUGGUGAUGCACCACGGUCAGAUAUGGAACAACGAUGAGCCGGUCCGUCGAUCAACUCGGGGCAUGGACCAGCGUAGGUUGGGGUCAUCUCGAGCUCUUGAUACGCUCAUGGAAUAACAUCUCAUUGAUUGUUGUAGGCAGCGUAUGCCUCUGGUAUUGUUUGGUAUUUGCGCACUCCAGACACUGGCAUGUGGGCUCCCCAUUCAACCCAUUUUAAAAUACGGACCAAGGAUUCUUAUAUUAGAGUGAGUCAAUAGAUGAGUAAACCUAUAAGGCAUAAUGAAGCUAAUUGGUUUGAUCCCCUUAAGAGGUGCACCACCGACCAACAUUGAUCUUCUUAGAAGGGUUUAAGUGUGCGCAUACCUGUCGGUACCCGAAAAUGGUGAACUAUGCCUGAGCGGGCCAAAGCCAAAGGUAACUUUGGUGGAGGCCCAAAGCAAUACUAAUGUAUAAAUCGUUCGUCUAACUUUUGUAUAGGGGCAAAAUACUAAUCAAACCAUCUAGUAGCUGGUUCCCACUGAAGUUUCCCUCAGGAUAGCUGGAGCUCGCGUGCGAGUUCAAUCAGGUAAAGAUAUUGAUUAUAGGCCUUGGGGGCGCAACUCCCUUGACCUAUUCUAUAACUUUAAAUAGGUAGGACGGCGCAGCUUCUUUGUUGAGCUGUGCUACAUAAUCAAGAGCUCUAAAUAGGCUAUUUUUGGCUAGCAGAACUGGCGAUAUGGGAUAAAGGAAAAGCUAGGUUACGGUGCCAAACUGUGCUCUAACCUAGAUCCCACAUAAGGUAUUGGUCUAUUAAGAUAGCAAAAUGGUAGUCAUGGAAGUAAAAAUCCACUAAGGAGUGUGUAACAACAUACCUAUCUAAUCAGCUAGCCUCAAAAAUAGAUGGCGCUUAAGCACGCAACCUACACCCAGCCAUCGGGUCAAGUGCUAGGCUCAGAUGAGUAGGAUGGUGCGGCAGUGCUUCCAACCCUUGGGAAUAAGCUCAGGUGAAGAGGCCUUCGGUGUAAUUCUUAUUUGUAGUAGCAAAUAUUCAAAUAAGAACUUUGAAGGCUGAAGAGGGGAAAGGUUCUAUGUGAACGGUAGUUGCUCAUGGGUUAGUCGAUCCUAAGGUUCAGGGGAACCUUGAUAGAUAGCGUGUUUCAUAUGUACUCCGAAAGGGAAUUAGGUUAAAAUUCCUAAAUCGGGACGUGCUAUUCGACAACAAUUUUAGAAAGUUCAGAGACAUCGCUGGGAGCCUCAAAAAGAGUUAUCUUUUCUGCUUAACAACCUUCCCACCCUAGAACUGGCUCAGUCGAAGGUAGGGUCUAGCAGCUGCAAGAUCAGUAUAUGUCAUGUAGUGUCCGAUGCGCUCCUCGAGUCCUUUGAAAAUCCAAAGGACCGACUGCCAUCAACGCCUAAUCGUACUCAUAAUCGCAUCAGGUCUCCAAGGUAAACAACCUCUGGUCGAUGGAACAAUGUAGGCAAGGAAUCUAUAACUUUGGGAAAAAGAUUGGCUCUGAGGGCUGGGCACAAGGGUCCUAGUCUUGAAUCCAUCGGCUGUCGGUGGACUGCUUGAGCUACUCCCAUGGUAAGAGUGGGUUGUCAUAUUCCGAUCGGGGGAUGAAAUAGGAACAGUUCCUUUGAGGGCCUUCCCCACGCAUCGAACUACCAACUCAGAACUGGUACAGACAAAGAGAAUCCAACUAUUUAAUUAAAAUAAAGCAUUGUGAUGGUCCCAAUGAAUGAUAAUGCAAUGUGAUUUCUGCCUAGUGCUCCAAAUUUAAAAUUACAGAAAUUUAACCAAGCACGGGGAAACGGUGGGAGUAACUAUGACUCUCUUAAGGUAGCCAAAGACCUCCUCAUCUAAUUAGUGAUGCACAUAAAUAGAUUAACGAGAUUCCUACUAUCCGUGUCUACUAUCCAGUGAAACUACAACUAAGGGAACAAGCUUGGCAAAAUCAGUGGGGAAAGAAUAACCUGUGAGCUUGACUCUAGUUCGACUUUGUGAAAUGACUUGAGAGGUCUAGUAUAAAUGGGAGCCAAAAGGAGAAAGUGAAAUACCACUACUUUUAAUGUUAUUUUACUUAUUUUGUGAAUCGAAAGUGGGGCACUGCCCCUCUUUUUUGAUCCAAGGCUCACUCUGCGGGCGGAUAUGGGCGGAAGACAUUGUUAGGUUAGGAAUUUGGCUAGGGAGGCAUAUCUGUUAAAAACUAACGUAGGUGUCCUAAGAUGAGCUCAACGAGAACAGAAAUCUAGUGUAGAAUAGAUGGGUAAAAGCUCAUUUGAUUCUGAUUUCCAGUAUGAAUACAAAUAAUAAAAGCGUAGACUAACGAUCCUUUAAACCUUUGAAAUUCAAUGCUAGAAGUGGCAGAAAAGUUACCAUAGUGAUAACUAGCUUGUAGCAGCCAAGAAUUCAUAGAGACGUCUCUUUUUUAUCCUUCGAUGUCAGCUCUUCUUAUUAUUGUAAAGAAAAAUUCACUAAGUAUUGGAUUGUUCACCCACCAAUAGGGAACAUGAGAUGACUUAAUACCGUUGUGAGACAGGUUAGUUAUUCCCUACUGAUGAUAGUGUCUCAAUUGUAAUUCAACCUAGUACUAGAGGAACUUUAGAUUCACAUAAUUAGUCAUCAUGCUUGGUUGAAAUGCCAGUGGCAUGAAGCUACCGUGUGUUGGAUUAAGACUAAAUGCCUCUAAGUCAGAAUUUGGCCUAAAAGCGACAUAUUUUCCCUCCGUCCACUUUUCGACCCGCAGUAGGGGUCUCAUUCCCCAAGGGCAUAUAUCAUUGGCUAAGACAUCGCGGCAAAAGGGUCGCGGUGGCCACUUCAAAGUAUAAUUUUCUUCGAGAGGUGGGUAGAAUCCCUUGCAGAUGACUUAAAUAUACAACU